CAUGAAUCAACAUCAGUAUCAUCCACUGGAGGAGCUAGUUCAUCAGCUAUUGUUGAUGUCAAUAAAGUGAAGAAAGUGAUCAACAAAGUUCUUUUAUCUCAUUAUGCUGAUUUCAAUUCUUUACUUCAAAAUGCUUUUACUGGUCUUGUUAAUCAGUUAUACACAGCUAAGCUUAUUGGCCAUGAAGUUAGCAAAGAACCUUCAAUGAAAGAGUGCCUUGGUGAAUUUAAGACUGGUCUUAAUUUUAAAAGAACGUUAUGUGAAGUGGAGGCAUACUGUCAAAAGUUCUUAGAUGCACUAAUAAAAGCAAGUGGCAGUUGUGCUCAUGCAGCUGAAGCUUUACAUAAGGACUGGAUUGAAGCUAUUAGAAAUGAGCUAGGAUUUCAUUUUAAUAUUAAUAUUGAGUUAUAAAUUUUAUUGUCAGUUGUAUUUUUAGAAGUCUAUAUUUUCUAUUGACUUUGUUUUAAUGCUGAUUUUUGUGCUAUUAAAUUUUAUAAAAAUUAUCACACUGCAUGUUUAAAUCUAGCUACGUAAUGUUCCACUCUUCUGGUCUAUAUUGUUCUUUCCUUUCACUCCAACUCUUUCAUUUUUCAUUGAAACUGUCUUCUUCUCUGAAUUUA